UGAACAUGAGCCCACAUAAAAGUAAUGUAAAUAGUUACAGCACCAGCCAGUUGUCAUCCUUUACUACAGACAGCAUUCUCAGUUAAUUUUGCUUUUUGGCACCCAAAAGCAAUGGAUUUCCAGAACCGCAUGACCGAAGAAGGCAUAUAGUUAAUGUAUCUAGCGAUUUAACCACCUGGUAAAAGCUUACGUAUUUGUCUUGGUUUAGGUAGCUACCUUGCUAAGGGAUCUACCUUAGCUGUUUUAGAUAGUUGCUCUUCUUGUAGCGGCUGUGUGAUGUGUUCUCGGUGCUGUGCCGUGGAGCGAGCUGGCCUAGACAGGCGUGUCCAUUUCUAAUGCGCACCACACGGAUGAGUUGGGGGGUGUGUGGUACCCAGAAGAGGAGACUGGUGCUGGGUAUUGUCAUCCUGCUGUUUGUCGACAUAAUCUGGGUUGCUUCCUCUGAGCUUACUGCAGUAAGAUCU
ensembl:lncRNA